rnacentral:rRNA from 1 species
UACGUAGGGGGCAAGCGUUGUCCGGAAUCAUUGGGCGUAAAGCGCGUGUAGGCGGCCCGAUAAGUCCGCUGUGAAAGUCCAAGGCUCAACCCUGGGAUGCCGGUGGAUACUGUCGGGCUCGAGUCCGGAAGAGGCGAGUGGAAUUCCUGGUGUAGCGGUGAAAUGCGCAGAUAUCAGGAGGAACACCAAUGGCGAAGGCAGCUCGCUGGGACGUGACUGACGCUGAGACGCGAAAGCGUGGGGAGCAAACAGG